CUUCAUACGCCUGCUGUGGGCAGAUGAAGUGGAUGUGCGUGUCGAUACCACCAGCAGUUAUGAUCUUUCCUUCGCCGGCCACAACAUCGGUGCAGCUGCCGACUAUCAUCCCGGGAGUAACGCCGUCCAUAACGUCGGGGUUACCAGCCUUGCCGAUACCCACGAUCAUACCAUUCUUGACUCCGAUAUCUGCCUUGUAGAUACCAGUCCAGUCCACAAUCAGCGCGUUGGUGACAACCAUGUCCAGCGAAUCGGCAUCGGAGCAACCGCUCAUCUGUCCCAUGCCCUCUCGAAG
rnacentral:sRNA from 1 species